GAUCACUUUGAUCGACGGUGUAAUAGACCAAUUGUUUAGUGUGCCUACUUAGUGCAACGACUACAUGAGGUAGACUGUGAUAAAUUGAGUUGUCGUUUUUCAAAUAUCGAAUUACGAUUACAAAUUUGCUUUGUUUUCCCUGAAACUCGUGGAUGGUAUUGGUUGGAAAGUUGAAAUUCAAGAAAAAUUCCUUCUCUUGUUGAGUAAAAGUUAAGUAUUGCGUAUCUAGUACGCGAGGAAUUGAUGUGAUAUUGAUAUAUCGAUGUAUCUUGAUUUCAGAUUUUACAUUCGAAGUUGAAAACAUGCCAUGUUCGUAUAAUGGAAAAAGCAAAGCUGAUACAGUCGUAGAACAACGAUAUGAAAUAGAAAGAAAUUCUUUUUCACUGAUCAAACUCGUAGGAAUCAUUUGAUGAAAUAUUUCAGUGAUUGUAGAUCGAUUAAUAUAUGGAAUUUGAAGACAAUCUCCAAUUAAUAUCACUGAUUUGGCACAACUUUUGGCCGCAGCAAAAACAAUUUGUCCGAAGUGGAGCAUGAAAGCCUCGUCCACGAAUAGUCGAUUAUAGGUAUAUCUACUAUUACUCAUAAGGAAUGAGUCAAUAGUUCGAUAAUGGUUUUUCAUGAGAUGAUGAUCAGGAGACAUUUGAUGAUUGAUGCUUAGACGAGUUUUGAAGUCAUUGGCCCCCUCACGAGUAGGAAAUAGUACUAAAUCUGACCCGUAAAUACUUAUAUUAUUUAAAAUAUAAGUGGUCUUUCCGCAUCCAGGGACGCCAUUAACUACUUUGAAUCGUGGAAUUGUUUGAAAAUUCAAGUUGAUGUUUUUACAUUUGAAAUAGAGUUCGAAGUCACUAAGAAUACGUGUUUCUUUCGUAGCAAUAAGAAGAUUCGAAUAUAGUUGAGGUGAACCAGACUUCAAUUCGUCGGAUUUAAUCAAAUUAGCUCCGUCAUAUAGAUAUUUAUGGUUACGAAGAUUCGGAGGAAUAAUAAAGUUGUGAUUAGUAGUGUUAUAGACACCAAUAUCUAUUCGAAGAUUUGACUGGGAUGAAGUAUCAAUUUUACCUGAUUCACUUACCACCGAUGAAUGUAUUAGAUGGGCUUCCCAUAUUGCGUCGAAUGAAUUUGAGUACCAUAUGCUAAGUUGUUCAGUAGCAGCUCGAUGUAGUAAAUCGAUUAAUACGCAGUCAUUCAUCGUCACAGAAGUCGAGUAUACAAAUUCGAUGAAAAUAAUAAGAUUCUAAAGUACUGUAAAAACAGAAGAAAUGAAAACUAAAAGAAAUAUAACCUAAUGUAAAAUAAUAAUAAUUGUAUCUCGUAGAAUUAAAUUAAAUAAAAUGAAACAUAAAUCUGUCGAAUAAUAUACGAUACUCUGAUUGGUUGAAGACUGAAUGUCUUCGGUGACGUAGUUAUUUUAUCAACCAAUGAACAACAAGCGUACUAAUCGUCGAAUUUUUGUUUUGAUUGCAGAUCUGGCUGGAAAAACACACGUGGAGAAUUAUCACACAUGUACAUCGAGUAAGUAUGAAAUUGUUACACUAAUUGAUAUAUUAAUUAAUCACUUGAUUAAUAAUGACGUUGAUGUUUUGCAGGUGGAUCAUCGAGCGAAGAAUGCUGCAAAAUCGAAUCUUUGGCCAAUGAAUCCGAACCCAAGUAAUUGAUAAGUCCAAGAACUAUUUCCAGUAUAGUAUGUUGGGUUUGUGAUACUAAAUUCUCUACAGAUCCAAAUGGAGGAUUUUUAUCGAGAAUACGUUCAAUCUGGUGUACGUAUCGAACAGAAAUGCCUUUCGUUUGUCUUGACACGUCGUAACGAAGCCAGGAUCUGAAUUUAUAUGCGAUGGAUGCGGUAUUACCAACGAAGGAAGGAGCUGCCAUUCAUCUGCAAUACCUACGUUUCCUGUCGAUAAUAAGAUUCUCUUCGGAUAUCGUAUUCCAGCAGUUUUGAGAUUUUGCAAUAGAAUUUUACCGGAUGCAAACUGAUCAAGGAAGAUGUUUCGUGAAAUCGAGUCGGAUAAUGAACGGGCGUUGUGCGCUAUGCCGAAACACAACCCGUCACCUAUCAUAAGAUGACUUUGAAAGAAAUAAACUAAUUCCGGCAGCUCCCUAGAAUUAGCAAUAUUACCAGUAACAACAUAAUGGGUAUCGUCCGAUACAGCAGUGACAAUAUCCACGAUUUCAUCAGGGACACAUCGAUCAAUCGAAGUUGGUAAGACGUCCAAUAAUUCGCGAUAAGUGGGUGGAUCUAUCACCGCAUCAUUUUUAAUCAAAAAGGUAGCAAAAUCCCCAGUCUUAGGGAAACCAUUGAUAGAGAUAUCGGUUUGCUUAAAUGGAAUCUUGAAUUGUUUCAGGCUCACGGAGUUAAUCGCCUUGGUCGUCGAGAUACCGCUGAGACUUUUGCUUACCGAAGAUCGACGAUUCUUCUUGAAACGUGGAUUUCUGCUUUUGCCAUUGUCGUCGGUCUGAUUGAUAUUGAUAUUCAAACUGUUACGAGAUGAAUGAACGAUCGAUCGAUGAUUAUUAGUCGAUUCCGGAGUCAAUGAUAAUGAGCGCUUUUUCGAUGGAUUACGUUCGUAUACUUGUUCAAAAUUCAGCUCAUCAUCGUCAGAAACUUCGGAUGAUAAAGGCUCGGCAGUCGAGUCGCCGAUUUGUAUCGUAUUAGCCGGAACUGAAGAUUGAUUCGACUUACCAUUAGUUCCUUCCAAUGAAGGAGUAUCGAGAUCGAUUACAUCAUCGUCGGUGGUGUUCGUCGUAUUCUUACCAGUAUCAGACCGUAAAGCAGCGUCGAGAUUCACAUUCGGAGCAUCUUCUUUCGGGAUCAUCGCCUUCCACAAUGUGGAUGUGAUAAUACCCAUCUUUUCCAUCGUUUGGUGGCGUUUAAUAACUUCUUUUUGUAAAUCGUCUAUUGUAUUUAGGUGUUUAAUACAAUCUUUCGAGAGCCUAGUGAUUUGCUCGGUGUUAUGGAUUUUGUCUUGGUGUAGAUCAAUGAUUGUUUUACGUGUAGAUUCACCGAUCAAUUGAUGAACGAUUUCGUCAAUCGGUUUUGUAGGAGCUGUCACAGUUAAGGCAUCCUUGAAAUAAAGCGAUUUACCACAUUGAGCACCAUCCUCAACUUCGAACUUACACUUACCUUGGCCAUUAAUUGACCCACAUACCUCCUUAAGACAGUCGCUGUGAUAUAAGUGGUGACAAAGUCGACCAGCUCGUAACUCAGUAUACGUACCAGAAGAACUGCCAAGGGUUUCCUUGCAGUGAGAACAUACGAUGAUCGAAGAAGAAGAAUUCAUGAUCGAUACAACAGCAAUGAAUAAUUACAAUAAUGGAUUUAAUCGUAAGCACAACGUUGCAAAUACACAAACUUACCAAUCGUAGAAACAUACACGUCGUUCGUCGAAUAGAAACUUGAAAGAAUGGUUCGAUGUGAAAAAGACCGUUAGAAAUGAAUUCAAACUAUCCCUUCCACUCGUAUGCAGAAUCCAACCGGUUGAGAUGAUAUUACUUGUUAUCUUACUGAUAAGUCGUACCACGACAAUUACCUGUACUUUACCUGUGUAGUGUACUAUGUAAUCUAUUAUGAAUAAUUUCAAAUGAAUAAAAGUUAACAUCGUA